GAUAAUAUUGUCAAAAAUAGAAAAUAAAAAUAAAAACAAAAGAGAGAGAGAAUGAAACAGAGUACUCUCCACCUCCUCCUCAUUCUCUGUCUCGCCAUUCUUGGCCACGACACCUUCCUCAAUAAAGUUUAAUCCUUUCAUUUGUUUCUCUUCCAUGGCCAAGACCGGUGUCUUUGAUUCCGAUCCGACGGCCAUGGCCAAGGCUACUGAAUUAAAGAAGGAACUAGAAAAGCUCAUCAGAACCAUUGUCGAUGACGACGAUUAUCUUAUAGAGACCAUCGAUCAAGCUAAAGACACUCUCUGCGCCUUGAAGGAAUUAAAGAUGAACAAGAGAUCAUUGUCUUUAAAGUUGCGCCAAACGCUGUCGUGUCCCGAUGAGUUUAAGUGUCCUUUGUCCAAGGAAUUGAUGAGAGAUCCUGUCAUUUUGGCUACGGGGCAGGUUUGUUUUGUGUAUUUUUGUGUUAAAAGAUUCGUUUUUUGCUGUGUUUGCUAACUGACAAAAUGCCGCUAGAGGCUAGAGGUUGUGUAAUUGCUGUUUUGCGUUUCAAGUUUUUCACUUUGGCCUACUCAAACAGAUCAAUUCAAUUAUUUUACUGUAAUUUAGUUUAAUGGAGGUGGGUUUUUAAUCUUAUUGAAGAUUCACGUAAAUUGAUGAGUAAUGCUUCAAAAUCUCAAUUUAAUUUUGCUUUUCUUCUCCUCUCUCUCUCUCUUUCUUACAGUGUUGUUUUAGACUUUCCCUCCCACCUCUCAGCUGUGAAUUUGGGUUAAGCAGCGUAUUGAUAAUUUAUCUGUGGCUUAAUUCCAUAUGCAUAAGAAUUUAUCUACUUUGGAUGCCUUUAAUUUGAUUUUCUUCAUUUUUUGUUCAGAUUCAUAUAAGAAAAUGUGGGAAAUGAAAUGAAAUCUGCCUUGUGAGUGUUUUACUCUAUCUGGCGUUGUAAUACAGUUACAUUCAUUUCAGGCGAGUCUUAUUUCUAAAAUGGAGUACAAAAUAACAUAGCCUUUGAGAUUGGAAUUUUCACUUCCUUAUUUUCACUCCCAUUUUCUCAGAAAACAAACGGAAGUUAAAAGAUUUUUUUUUUCCUGUGCAUAUGUGACAUGUUGGGUAGUUUAUAGUGAGUGUUUGUUAUUGAUUUAAUAUUUAGUACAAUGAAGACAGGUUUUGAAAUCUGGUGGUUGUUGAAAUUUAAAUACUGUGGAUGCUUGUACUAUUUAUAUAACUAGGAAAAAUGGCAGUUGGUGGCUGGUUGGAAUUUGGAUAAUUUAAACCUUAUUUAUUGUGUCGUCUUAUGUUUAUGUUUUUUACGUUAUAUUAUACAGAAGAUGAUAUGGUUUAGGUUGAUGGGAUUUGAUUGGAAUUUUUGAAGGGGUGAAAGGAGCAACCAAUUUAUAAAAAUGGAGAAUUUUUAUUUAUUCUAUUUCAUCAAUCUUAAACCAUUGGGGGAAGAAAAUUUCUGAUGAAAUUAUUGACUGGAUUCCUGCAGAGAAAAUCUGCAGUAAAAAAGAAUGUUUAUUUUAAUCACUUCUGUUAUUUGGCCGAUUCUCUUACUUCUUCAACGUAAUGAAAUUAAUUUAUGUGAAUUUUUUUGUUAUUUUGAUUUUAAUGUUGGUUAACCCGUGUUCCUAUUUCGUUUCUUGUUUGGUUAUUGAUUUAUUUUAUUUUCUGUUUUGAUGUGUACAGACUUAUGAUAGACCCUUCAUCCAGAAAUGGCUGAAAUCAGGGAACCGGACAUGCCCUCUCACUCAGCAAGUCCUGUCACACACAUUCCUUACUCCUAAUCACUUGGUCAGGGAAAUGAUAUCACAAUGGUGCAAGAGUCAAGGGUUAGAGUUGCCGGACCCUGUUCAAUAUGUUAAUGAGGAAGGAAUAACAGAAGCUGAUCGUGACCAUUUUCAGUCUUUACUUGAAAAGAUGUCCUCAGCACUUCCUGAACAGAAAGAAGCUGCGAGGGAGCUUCGAUUGUUGACGAAGAGGAUGCCCUCAUUCCGGGCGUUAUUUGGCGAGUCUGUUGGUGCCAUUCCUCAAUUGCUCAAUCCACUUUCAGCAAGCAAGUCUGGAAGUGAUAUCCACCCUGAUCUUCAAGAAGAUGUAAUCACAACCCUCUUAAAUCUUUCAAUCCAUGACAACAAUAAAAAGCUUGUUGCUGAAACCCCUAUGGUAAUUCCUCUUCUUAUGGAAGCAUUAAGGUCGGGAACCAUUGAAACAAGGACUAAUGCAGCUGCGGCUCUUUUCACAUUAGCUGCUCUUGAUUCCAACAAGGCACUUAUUGGGAAAUCAGGCGCUCUAAAACCACUUAUAGACCUUCUAGAGGAGGGAAAUCCUUUAACCUUGAAAGAUGUUGCUUCUGCAAUUUUUACCCUAUGUUUCAUACAUGAAAACAAGGCAAGAGCUGUGAGGGAUGGUGCAGUGAAGGUGAUUGUGGAAAAGAUUAUGGAUGGUGUGCUUGUUGAUGAAUUAUUAGCUAUCCUAGCAAUUCUUUCUGGCCAUCAGAGGGCUGUCGAAGAAAUGGGAGAGCUUGGAGCUGUUCCUUGCUUGCUUCGGAUUAUCAGGGAGAGCAAUUGUGAACGCAACAAGGAAAAUUGCAUUGCCAUUCUCCACACAAUCUGUACAUAUGAUCGAACCAAGUGGAAGGCAAUGAGGGAAGAAGAGAAUGCCCGUGGAACAAUCUCUAAACUAGCUCGAGAUGGCACUUCAAGGGCCAAGAGAAAGGCUAAUGGCAUUCUUGAAAGACUGAAUAGAGCUGUUAAUCUUACCCAUACAGCAUGAAUUGACGGGAUCAGUUAUGCACAAUAGUCAACUAUGCUGAAAUGUAAAUUCUACAUCUGAUUCCAGCACUUGCAAUCAUCAUUGCAACUCCAGCAUAUCUGUGCAAUUCUCCACCGCCUUUCUGUAAAUUCUCUUCACCGAAAUUUCUAUUUCAGGUUAAUGAGUUAGCCAUUGUGAAUAAAUAUGCCUUAAGUUUGUUGUAAAUUUUUGUCUUUUAUUUUGUGCUAUAGUUUCUUCACGGUUGCCUUGCUUUCUAGAUGUCUUGGCUUUUGUCUUGGCUUUUACUAGUAACAGUUUUGGCUUUUUUUUUACCAGUUUGCUAAUAUGAAUCCAUGGUCCCCCAAGGAACCAAAAACAUGUAUAAGAUUUUCUACCUAGUUUUGUCAUCUAAUCAAAAGCUUCUACUUGCAUUAUGCUUGAAUCUAGUAAUUGUCACCUUUUUCACAAGUGGGAUUUGGCACUCACUCUUACUUACCAGAACUAGGAAUUCCACUACUAAAGAUUGAUCUUCUAAGUUGUCUGUACUUUAUAUUGCUUUUAAUAAAUACCAGAUCCUUUAUUUUUUUCCAUUGGAAUGAAAACUGUUGGCUCCUUUCACUAUAGUGUCUGACCUAAGGAUGGAUCCAAAUGCAUGCACGGUGAAAGAAUGGUCCAGAGAGAGAUAGGGUUUGGACUGUAACAGGAAUGAAUUGCCCAUAUUGAAUGGAGUUGCUGAUUUCUGGUACUGUGGUCCAUCAAAGAUGCUGCUUGAUGACUACCCUUUUGUGAAAGUCUUCUAUUGAACAGUUACCAUCAAACCCUAUCUUCUCUGUGAUAUGUAUACAUUUUUGUCCAUGCCAAUUCAAGAUGGGCAACAUAGUACGUUCUAUGUUGGAAUAUCCCUCCUUUAUGACCUAUUUGUUAAAUUAUUUAUGAACUUGUUUAAGUACCUUGAUAUGUAUAAUUGCACUAUUUCAUGAGUAAAACCUACUACUAGA
rnacentral:misc_RNA from 1 species